UGCCAUCCGUGUGGGUAUCAGCUCAUCCUUCUCAUUGUGAACUACUGUCAUGCCUCCUUUCUUCGGCACAACCUGCACAGGGCUCACCCAAGAACUGUCAGAAAUAGGAUAAAUCAAACCUGCAUCAAGGAGCUUAAUUACCUCCUUUUUCACUACUUCCUUCAUAUUUGGGUUAAGCCGCCUCUGUGGCUGAACUACUGGUCUAUAGCUAUCCUCCAUCAAAAUCUU
rnacentral:lncRNA from 1 species